rnacentral:rRNA from 1 species
UACGGAAGGCAGCAGUGGGGAAUAUUGCACAAUGGGCGCAAGCCUGAUGCAGCCAUGCCGCGUGUAUGAAAAAGGCCUUCGGGUUGUAAAGUACUUUCAGUCGUGAGGAAGGUGUUAAGGUUAAUAACCUUAGCAAUUGACGUUAGCGACAGAAGAAGCACCGGCUAACUCCGUGCCAGCAGCCGCGGUAAUACGGAGGGUGCGAGCGUUAAUCGGAAUUACUGGGCGUAAAGGGCACGCAGGCGGUUAAUUAAGUUGGAUGUGAAAUCCCCGGGCUUAAACCUGGGAAUGGCAUUCAAGACUGGUUAGCUAGAGUCUUGUAGAGGGGGUAGAAAUUCCAUGUGUAGCGGUGAAAUGCGUAGAGAUGUGGAGGAAUACCGGUGGCGAAAGGCGGCCCCUGGACAAAGACUGACGCUCAUGUGCAAAGCUGGGGAGCAAACAGGGAUUAGAUACC